UUACUAAUUAAUUCAUUGAAAAUUAAAAUAAUUACAGAAAUUAAUAUGAAACAACAGACAACAAACUAACGUUACUCUGCUGCGAAAAAGAGGAGAUUUUUCAUCUACGUAUUCACAAUUUACGCCGCUCUCGCGUAAUUUCUUUUUGGGUAUAAUUUUCUCGUCUAAUUUUCAAAAUUGGGACUAAAAAGAAGAUUAACGAUUUUAAAGAGAUAAAAUUGAAAAUUUGUGGGUUUUUCUUUUCCGGUUCUUGAUAUCGGCGAUUUUAAAAAAUCAUAAUCAGGCGACUUCCGGAGCAGGUUGGUUGAGAUCGAUAUUGAGAAGCGGUCGCCGUUUGAUCUCGUGGUGGUUUAAAUCAACGACGGAGGAUGAAUCUGAGUCGCUUUGUACACCAGCGUUAAAAGUUUCGUGAUAAUCACGGUGAUCGAAUCUC
rnacentral:lncRNA from 1 species